rnacentral:rRNA from 1 species
CUACGUGCCAGCAGCCGCGGUCAUACGUAGGAUCCGAGCGUUAUCCGGAGUGACUGGGCGUAAAGAGUUGCGUAGGCGGUUGUAUAAGUGAAUAGUGAAAUCUGGUGGCUCAACCAUACAGGCUAUUGUUCAAACUGUACAACUUGAGAGUGGUAGAGGUCACUGGAAUUUCUUGUGUAGGAGUGAAAUCCGUAGAUAUAAGAAGGAACACCAAUGGCGUAGGCAGGUGACUGGACCAUUUCUGACGCUAAGGCACGAAAGCGUGGGGAGCGAACCGGAUUAGAUACCCGGGUAGUCCACGCCGUAAACGAUGGAUACUGGCUGUUGGAGGUAUCGACCCCUUCAGUAGCGAAGCUAACGCGUUAAGUAUCCCGCCUGUGGAGUACGGCCGCAAGGCUAAAACAUAAAGGAAUUGACGGGGACCCGCACAAGCGGUGGAUCGUGUUCUUUAAUUCGAUGCUAAACGAAGAACCUUACCAGGGCUUGACAUCCAG